rnacentral:ribozyme from 1 species
AAUAUGUCAAAAGAAAAAAAGAGUGAAGAGAAAAAACUUUUGUCUCUUCUCUCCUCUCUAUCUUCUGUUCUCUCUUCUUUUUCUCCCUUGAUUUUUCAAACAAAGAAAGAGGAAGACGGAGAGAAUCAAGGAGGAGGAAGAGAGGGGAGUGUGUUGAGAAAGUUUUUGAGAGCGUCUUGUUUGUUAACUGUCAUUAGUAGUUAUUUGCGAACAGUUACGUGGUUAGAAGUUAUGGCCUCUGUACCUCUUUAU